GUGCCAGCCGCCGCGGUAAUACGGAGGGUGCGAGCGUUGUCCGGAAUCACUGGGCGUAAAGGGCGCGUAGGCGGCCCCGCAAGCGUGUGGUGAAAGCCCGGGGCUCAGCCCCGGGUCGGCCGUGCGGACUGCGGGGCUCGAGCACUGUAGGGGCGGGUGGAAUUCCGGGUGUAGCGGUGGAAUGCGUAGAGAUCCGGAAGAACACCGGUGGCGAAGGCGGCCCGCUGGGCAGGAAGACCCCUCACGGGGUCGGCUGACGCUGAGGCGCGACAGCGUGGGGAGCAAACAGGAUUAGAAACCCUCGUAGUCC
rnacentral:rRNA from 1 species